CAGCCUUACCUUACAUGCACAUGGAAUAACAUAGGCAAGCAUGACAGGCUUCACUUAAAUGUAAACCUAAAAAUGGAAGGACGUACACUGCGCUACAAAAACAGCUCCAUCCCCGUCACUCACCGGUAAAUUGUGAGUGUGUCAGGAGGAGCAGGAAAAAGCCAGUCUACAUCAUCUGGCUGCGAGGAAAGAAAAACGUCCCGUCACUCCUGCAUCCGAGAACACAAACACAAAAUCAGAGGACCGUGUUAAAACCUAAAAACAAAGAGAAGAAAUAGUGUUUCUUCACCAAUAACGAAACAAAGUCCGGACUGCUGUUGCUUGUGCUCCUGCUGCUGCCGUAGUGUGUGUGUGUGUGUGUGUGUGUGUGUGUGUGUGUGUGUGUGUGUGUGUGUGUGUGUGUGUGUGUGUGCAAAAGUCUUACUCGUUAGGUGUCUUUAAGGGAACUUUCUUACUACACUGUACAAAAUAAUUGUUGUUUUUACAGUAUUUUUCCCAUAAAUACUGACAGGAAAUAGCUGUAACCAAAGUUUACAAAUCCGACUGUUGUAUGUGACAUGCAAUUUGGUUGUGAUGUCUUGAAUUUCUUGGCUCAGUCCUUGUUAACAUUUAACAGGCAAUGUUGAGUGUGUGCCGAGACACCAUAAGCCUCCAUAUUAUCUAAAUAAUAUUUUAUCGAGAUAGAAUUAAAUACAGAUAAACACUGUAAAUCAAAGCAACAGGGUGUCUGUAAAUGUUGCAUUUUUUCUUCGUUGCUAAGCGGUUGUCUUCAAUAUUAUUCUUCAUUAAAUACUUGGAAUGUAAUACUUAUUCAUUGCUGUUAUACCAAUAGCCUUAAAAACAUACUUUAAAUGUUUUUUAUUUUUUCUAUAUUAUUUGUCAUGUGCAUUGUUUAUUGCGACACGUGGCACUGUUACUGAAAACUUGUCAUGUAGCGCCUUUGUAUGUCGAUGUGCAUUUAUCGUAUACAAAUAUUUUCACUUAAGGUGAUGAUGAAAAUUAUUCAUAAUGAAAUGAAAAGCUCAAACGUUCUAUAUAAUAUUUCGGUGACGCAAGGUUACUUCGACCUAGUAACUUCAGUAACCAGAAGAUGGAAUAUUCUACUCUGGGGAGACAUGCAAGGUAAGAAAUAUAUUUUGUUAUCUCAGUUCAAACAUUUAGUAGUAUGAAAUUUUGAGGAAGUAUGAUGAGAAAAAUAAUAAAAGCAUAGGAGUAGUUACAUGCACAUCGAGAUUUCCAACUGUUGAACCACCAAUUUUUCUGUUUAUGAAUACGAGGUGCCUGCCAAAUGCCAGUACGAGACCAGUAGCUACACCUUUUUUAUCCUGCACUGAGUGAGACCCAGGCCUGUACUUUCAUCAAGCUUGAUACUGUCAGCUUACUGCACUUCUGGGACACUAGAGGCUAAGUUGACGCUGUUGUUAAGACUGAACUAUACAGCCUCAACAAAAACAUCACCAAGGGCACAGCUAGCCAGUAUUCUACCUACCUACCUCCUAAGGUCCUAAGGCCUAAAGGCCUUCCAUCCAACAACAUUCCUGGUCUCCUCUCUCGCAUGAGAAUCAAGGUUUACUACAACAAGAUAUAUGCUGUCAAUUGAUGGUGUUGUUGUCACUGAGCAUAUUGCCACAUUUACCACUGGCCUAGCUAUGCUGUUGGCCUCCUAUUACAACUUUAAUAUAAGGUACCCCAUGGAUUCUGCAUCAACACUCGAGUUCAUUCAAAGAUGUUUUGCUGGUAUCAAUCCCAAAUGGGGGAGCAAGAUAGAAGUAAAAAAAACAUUGCAAAAGGCACUCUGAAGUCCAUCCGAAGGUCCUGUCCCUGAUUAAUGGUAUUGCUGAUGUAGACUGGAGGAGCUAAAUCCCACCAGAUGCUGUCAGCCACUAGAGGGGAGGAAACUAGAAUUGUGAUACACAAGUGGAUAAAACUUCUCUUCCAGUCUUGGUGAUGUACUUAAAUAAUGCUCUUUUUUUAAUGAUGUGUCAAUGACAAUUAUAAUGGUAAUGCU